rnacentral:rRNA from 1 species
AUUGAACGCUGGCGGAAGGCCUAACACAUGCAAGUCGAACGAGUGGCGGACGGGUGAGUAAUGUCUGGGAAACUGCGUGAUGGAGGGGGAUAACUACUGGAAAAGGUAGCUAAUACCGCAUACCAUCGGAUGUGCCCAGAUGGGAUUAGCUAGUAGGUGGGGUAAAGGCUCACCUAGGCGACUAUCCCUAGCUGGUCUGAGAGGAUGACAAGCCACACUGGAACUGAUACACGGUCCAGAUUCCUACGGGAGGCAGCAGUGGGGAAUAUUGCACAAGGGGCGCAAGCCUGAUGCAGCCAUGCCGCGUGUAUGAAGAAGGCCUUCGGGUUGUAAAGUACUUUCAGCGGGGAUGCGUUACCCGCAGAAGAAGCACCGGCUAACUCCGUGCCAGCAGCCGCGGUAAUUC